rnacentral:rRNA from 1 species
AAUGAACGCUGGCGGCGUGCCUAAUACAUGCAAGUCGAGCGACCAGACGAGGAGCUUGCUCUCUUGACGUUAGCGGCGGACGGGCGAGUAACACGUGCAUAACCUACCUCUAAGUCUGGGAUAACUUCGGGAAACCGGUGAUACUACUGGCUCAUACAUUGUACCGCUUGGAUCAAUAGUGAUAGACACCUUUGCUGAUUCUUUUAGAUGGAUCCGCGCCGCAUUAGCUAGUUGGUAAGGUAACGGCUUACCAAGGCGACGAUGCGUAGCCGACCUGAGAGGAUGAUCAGCCACACUGGAACUGAGACACGGUCCAGACUCCUACGGGAGGCAGCAGUGGGGAAUCUUGCACAAUGGGCGAAAGCCUGACAGAGCAACGCCGCGUGAGUGAUGAAGGUCUUCGGAUCGUAAAGCUCUGUUAUUAGGAAAGAACAAAUGUGGAAGUAACUAUGCACGUCUUGACGGUACCUAAUCAGAAAGCCACGGCUAACUUCGUG